CACGUAGUUAGCCGGGGCUUCUUACUCAGGUACCGUCAUUUAUUCUUCCCUGCUGAUAGAGCUUUACAUGACGAAUUACUUCUUCACUCACGCGGCGUCGCUGCAUCAGGGUUCCCCCCAUUGUGCAAUAUCCCCCACUGCUGCCUCCCGUAGGAGUCUGGGCCGUGUCUCAGUCCCAAUGUGGCCGUCCGCCCUCUCAGGCCGGCUACUGAUCGUCGCUUUGGUAGGCCGUUACCUGCCAACUGGCUAAUCAGACGCGGGCCCAUCGUAUACCGUCUCGGCUUUUCACACUCCAGUAUGCACUGCUGUGCGCUUAUGCGGUAUUAGCACCUAUUCUAAGUGUUAUCCCCCUGUAUACGGUAGGUUGCCCACGCGUUACUCACCCGUCCGCCACUAAGAUACAUUUUCCUUCAGACGAAUCCUCAUUCCAAUAUAUCCCCGUUCGACUUGCAUGUGUUAGCACGCCGCCAGCGUUCAUCCUGAGCCAGGAUACC
rnacentral:rRNA from 1 species